AUUGAACGCUGGCGGCAGGCCUAACACAUGCAAGUCGAGCGGGGUUUUCGGACCUAGCGGCGGACGGGUGAGUAAUGCGUAGGAAGCUACCCGAUAGAGGGGGAUACCAGUUGGAAACGACUGUUAAUACCGCAUAAUGUCUACGGACCAAAGUGUGGGACCUUCGGGCCACAUGCUAUCGGAUGCGCCUACGUGGGAUUAGCUAGUUGGUGGGGUAAUGGCUCACCAAGGCGACGAUCCCUAGCUGGUUUGAGAGGAUGAUCAGCCACACUGGAACUGAGACACGGUCCAGACUCCUACGGGAGGCAGCAGUGGGGAAUAUUGGACAAUGGGCGCAAGCCUGAUCCAGCCAUGCCGCGUGUGUGAAGAAGGCCUCGGUGUAAGCACUUCUAGCGAGGAGGAAGAGUAGUAGUAAUAGACUGCUAAUUUUAGUACGUUACUACGUCAGAAGAAGAC
rnacentral:rRNA from 1 species